rnacentral:rRNA from 1 species
GACGAACGCUGGCGGCGUGCUUAACACAUGCAAGUCGAACGGUAAGGCCCUUCGGGGUACACGAGUGGCGAACGGGUGAGUAACACGUGGGUGAUCUGCCCUGCACUUCGGGAUAAGCCUGGGAAACUGGGUCUAAUACCGGAUAGGACUCCUGGCUUCAUGGUUGGGGGUGGAAAGCUUUUGCGGUGUGGGAUGGGCCCGCGGCCUAUCAGCUUGUUGGUGGGGUAAUGGCCUACCAAGGCGACGACGGGUAGCCGGCCUGAGAGGGUGUCCGGCCACACUGGGACUGAGAUACGGCCCAGACUCCUACGGGAGGCAGCAGUGGGGAAUAUUGCACAAUGGGCGCAAGCCUGAUGCAGCGACGCCGCGUGGGGGAUGACGGCCUUCGGGUUGUAAACCUCUUUCAGUAGGGACGAAGCGCAAGUGACGGUACCUACAGAAGAAGCACCGGCCAACUACGUGCCAGCCGCCGCAGUAA